AAAGCUCGUAACCAAGGACCAGACUUCGUGAAGUUACAGGUCAUUUAAGCCACCUGCUGGGCCAGAUGGGGGAGUGAAUGCCUGGAAUUUGCAAUCCUGAUCUGCAGGUAACUUGAUGGAAUUAUAGGCCAGCACUUACAACGGCUGUGUCCACCCUCGGGAGCAAUGCAUUUGGAGUCCAAGCCCAGUGACCAGAAGCUCACGGCGGAAUCUUCUAGUAUGGAAAAUGCAGUUCCAGCUCCCUGUGCUCUGUGGAUCCCAAGGUGACGCGCUUGAACCAGAUGACUUUAUUGCUUCUCUUUUUCUUAAGACAUUGUAUCAGUAAUUAUUUGGGAUCUUAAACCAACAAUUACCAAUUACCGAUAAGCGUAAAAGGCCCUCAUUAGAGGAGUCAGCAGCCUGCUGGGGACAGAGCCCCUGACGGCGUGAGGCAGCACAGCAGACUUUUGGCAGCAGUGCAGAAGAUGCUGGAAACGUUCUGAGAACACCGGCAGCCUGCAAAGCCUACGACAGACACUUCCAGUAAAGAGGGAAGUCCUGGCUGGGGUCUCUGUCCUUCUUCAUCUUUUCUUCAGCUCCUCUGCCCUGAUGUACCUGGGCUGGGCUGGACAGCUUCCUCUCUUUUCUGACCGCUUCUUACCCUCCUGACCCUCCUUCUCCCCCACCGACUCCUGCCCAACCCAGGUGGCCACCUGAUGCUCCAUGCAUUGCCUCCCUGGAGCCCCCGUUCUACCUGAGAUUGUCCCCUUCCUCUUGGAGUCCAUCCCAAAGAUAUCACCAGCAGUACGGCUUGGGGAGAAAAUGGUAGCUGCAGUAACCUGGAAAGCCAGCCUGAGAGGCACUUACAUGUGAAAGAGAAGCAGCUCUAAGCUUUGGCCAACUCUGGAGAAUGGGAGUGUGGAACAACUUCUCACAAACAGCUACUCUGGAGAACGUUCCCUGAUGAAUCGUUUCGUCACACCGCACACCGCCCCUUCCUGUUUCUUCCUAGCCUUGUUUACUCCCCGCUGUAAGAAAGAGAGAAUCCCUUUCUGCUUGACUUUUGGGACUCUUGCAGAUCUCGUGGUCUGAGCUUCUCCUUGUUGCAGGACACCUUUCCCUGUUGCAGUAGGGGUCCUCCUCUUGCGGCAAUCAUCCUUCUGAAUAAAAGUCUCUUUUUA
rnacentral:lncRNA from 1 species